AGUGAACGCUGGCGGUAGGCCUAACACAUGCAAGUCGAACGGCAGCACAGUAAGAGCUUGCUCUUACGGGUGGCGAGUGGCGGACGGGUGAGGAAUACAUCGGAAUCUACUUUUUCGUGGGGGCUAACGUAGGGAAACUUACGCUAAUACCGCAUACGACCUACGGGUGAAAGCAGGGGAUCUUCGGACCUUGCGCGGUUGAAUGAGCCGAUGUCGGAUUAGCUAGUUGGCGGGGUAAAGGCCCACCAAGGCGACGAUCCGUAGCUGGUCUGAGAGGAUGAUCCGCCAGACUGGAAGUGAGACACGGUCCAGACUCCUACGGGAGGAAGCAGUGGGGAAUAUUGGACAAUGGGCGCAAGCCUGAUCCAGCCAUACCGCGUGGGUGCAGAAGGCCUUCGGGUUGUAAAGCCCUUUUGUUGGGAAAGAAAAGCAGCAGGUUAAUACCCCGCUGUUCUGACGGUACCCAAAGAAUAAGCACCGGCUAACUUCGUG
rnacentral:rRNA from 1 species